UAGUUUKRWUYCUGGCUCAGRGCGAACGCUGGCGGCAGGCUUAACACAUGCAAGUCGAGCGGGCAUAGCAAUAUGUCAGCGGCAGACGGGUGAGUAACGCGUGGGAACGUACCUUUUGGUUCGGAACAACUGAGGGAAACUUCAGCUAAUACCGGAUAAGCCCUUACGGGGAAAGAUUUAUCGCCGAAAGAUCGGCCCGCGUCUGAUUAGCUAGUUGGUGAGGUAAUGGCUCACCAAGGCGACGAUCAGUAGCUGGUCUGAGAGGAUGAUCAGCCACAUUGGGACUGAGACACGGCCCAAACUCCUACGGGAGGCAGCAGUGGGGAAUAUUGGACAAUGGGCGCAAGCCUGAUCCAGCCAUGCCGCGUGAGUGAUGAAGGCCCUAGGGUUGUAAAGCUCUUUUGUGCGGGAAGAUAAUGACGGUACCGCAA
rnacentral:rRNA from 1 species